rnacentral:tRNA from 1 species
UGCAGACUGGUAGGCAUUACGGGCGGUCUGGUAGACCGCCAGUUUGGCGUUCAGGUCGGCGAUCUGCGC